AUUGAACGCUGGCGGCAUGCCUUACACAUGCAAGUCGAACGGCAGCACGGGUGCUUGCACCUGGUGGCGAGUGGCGAACGGGUGAGUAAUACAUCUGGACAUGUCCUGUAGUGGGGGAUAGCCCGUCGAAAGCCGGAUUAAUACCGCAUACGAUCUACGUAUGAAAGCGGGGGACCUUCGGGCCUCGCGCUUUAGGGUUGGCCGAUGGCUGAUUAGCUAGUUGGUGGGGUAAAGGCCUACCAAGGCGACGAUCAGUAGCUGGUCUGAGAGGACGACCAGCCACACUGGGACUGAGACACGGCCCAGACUCCUACGGGAGGCAGCAGUGGGGAAUUUUGGACAAUGGGCGAAAGCCUGACCCAGCAAUGCCGCGUGUGUGAAGAAGGUCUUCGGGUUGUAAAGCACUUUUGUCAGGAAAGAAAUCCUUGGCAAUAAUACGGUCGGGGGAUGACGGUACCGGAAGAAUAAGCACCGGCUAACUACGUG
rnacentral:rRNA from 1 species